rnacentral:rRNA from 1 species
AAAUUGAAGAGUUUGAUCAUGGCUCAGAUUGAACGCUGGCGGCAGGCCUAACACAUGCAAGUCGAACGGUAACAGGAAACAGCUUGCUGUUUCGCUGACGAGUGGCGGACGGGUGAGUAAUGUCUGGGAAACUGCCUGAUGGAGGGGGAUAACUACUGGAAACGGUAGCUAAUACCGCAUAACGUCGCAAGACCAAAGAGGGGGACCUUCGGGCCUCUUGCCAUCGGAUGUGCCCAGAUGGGAUUAGCUAGUAGGUGGGGUAACGGCUCACCUAGGCGACGAUCCCUAGCUGGUCUGAGAGGAUGACCAGCCACACUGGAACUGAGACACGGUCCAGACUCCUACGGGAGGCAGCAGUGGGGAAUAUUGCACAAUGGGCGCAAGCCUGAUGCAGCCAUGCCGCGUGUAUGAAGAAGGCCUUCGGGUUGUAAAGUACUUUCAGUGGGGAGGAAGGGAGUAAAGUUAAUACCUUUGCUCAUUGACGUUACCCGCAGAAGAAGCACCGGCUAACUCCGUGCCAGCA